rnacentral:rRNA from 1 species
CCCUUAGAUGUUCUGGGCUGCACGCGCGCUACACUGACACUAUCAACGAGUGCUCCUGGUUUGAAAGGAUCGGGUAAUCUUUUGAAAUGGUGUCGUGAUGGGGAUAGAUCAUUGCAAUUAUUGAUCUUGAACGAGGAAUUCCUAGUAAAUGUGAGUCAUCAGCCCACGUUGAUUACGUCCCUGCCCUUUGUACACACCGCCCGUCGCUCCUACCGAUUGAGUGAACCGAUGAGUAGUCCGGAUUGCGAUCGACCUCGGUUAAUCGCGAGAAGUUCCGCAAAUCACUUCACUUAGAGGAAGGAGAAGUCGUAACA